GGUUUGAUUCUGGCUCAUGAUUGAACGCUGGCGGGAUGUUUUCGACACAUGCAAGUCGAACGGCAGCACGGACUUCAGUCUGGUGGCGAGUGGCGAACGGGUGAGUAAUGUACUGGAACGUGCCUAGUAGCGGGGGAUAACUACGCGAAAGCGCGUAGCUGGUUACCGCAUGAACACCUCUUCGGGGGAAAGCGGGGACCUUCGGGCCUCGCACCUGAGUUAGAGCGGGCCGAUAUCGGAUUAGCUAGUUGGUGGGGUAACGGCUCACUAAGGCGACGAUCCGUAGCUGGUUUGAGAGGACGACCAGCCACACUGGGACCAGACACGGCCCAGACUCCUACGGGAGGCAGCAGUGGGGAAUUUUGGACAAUGGGGGGAAACCCCUGAUCCAGCCAUCGCGUGUGCGAUGAAGGCCUUCGGGUUGUAAAGCACUUUUUGGCAGGAAAGAAACGGCACGUAUUAAUACCUGCAACUGACGGUACCUGAGAAUAAGCACCGGCUAACUACGUGCCAGCAGCCGCGGUAAUAC
rnacentral:misc_RNA from 1 species